rnacentral:rRNA from 1 species
CGAAUGAUGAGGAGCUUGCUCCUCUGAUUUAGCGGCGGACGGGUGAGUAACACGUGGGUAAUCUGCCUGUAAGACGGGGAUAACUCCGGGAAACCGGGGCUAAUACCGGAUAAUAAGAGAAGAAGCAUUUCUUCUUUUUGAAAGUCGGUUUCGGCUGACACUUACAGAUGAGCCCGCGGCGCAUUAGCUAGUUGGUGAGGUAACGGCUCACCAAGGCGACGAUGCGUAGCCGACCUGAGAGGGUGAUCGGCCACACUGGGACUGAGACACGGCCCAGACUCCUACGGGAGGCAGCAGUAGGGAAUCUUCGGCAAUGGGCGAAAGCCUGACCGAGCAACGCCGCGUGAGCGAUGAAGGCCUUCGGGUCGUAAAGCUCUGUUGUUAGAGAAGAACAAGUACGAGAGUAACUGCUCGUACCUUGACGGUACCUAACCAGAAAGCCACGGCUAACUACGUGCCAGCAGCCGCGGUAAUACGUAGGUGGCAAGCGUUAUCCGGAAUUAUUGGGCGUAAAGCGCGCGCAGGCGGUCUCUUAAGUCUGAUGUGAAAGCCCACGGCUCAACCGUGGAGGGUCAUUGGAAACUGGGAGACUUGAGUGCAGGAGAGAAAAGUGGAAUUCCACGUGUAGCGGUGAAAUGCG